ACCGCGGCAAAAGCAUCGUGGCUGAUCAGUGAGACCGUGGUAGUGUAGUAGCUUUCCUUUUUGCAUUAGUACACUUAUGUAUUGAGAGAGAUUCAUUGUAGGUGAGGAUUUGGAGGGUUAUGUAUUUUGGAUGAAAGAUGUAUUCAUUUAAAGAAAAUGAUGUAAAUGAAAAGGAUGAACUAUUGUAAUAGUUAGCAAAGUACUCUCUUUAUUUCACAUGUUAUUCCUGUGGAUUUCUUGCUCUUGUAGUUGCUGG
rnacentral:lncRNA from 1 species